rnacentral:rRNA from 1 species
CAGUCGCCGCGGGAAUACGUAGGUCCCGAGCGUUGUCCGGAUUUAUUGGGCGUAAAGCGAGCGCAGGCGGUUAGAUAAGUCUGAAGUUAAAGGCUGUGGCUUGACCAUAGUAUGCUUUGGAAACUGGGGAACUUGGGUGCAGAAGAGGAGAGUGGAAUUCCAUGUGUAGCGGUGAAAUGCGUAGAUAUAUGGAGGAACACCAGUGGCGAAGGCGACUCUCUGGUCUGUAACUGACGCUGAGGCUCGAAAGCGUGGGUAGCAAACAGGAUUAGAUACCCCCGUAGUCCCUGUCUCUUAUACC